rnacentral:rRNA from 1 species
UGGGGAAUAUUGCACAAUGGGGGAAACCCUGAUGCAGCGACGCCGCGUGAACGAAGAAGGUAUUCGUAUCGUAAAGUUCUGUCCUAUGGGAAGAUAAUGACAGUACCAUAGAAGAAAGCUCCGGCUAAAUACGUGCCAGCAGCCGCGGUAAUACGUAUGGAGCGAGCGUUGUCCGGAAUUAUUGGGCGUAAAGGGUACGCAGGCGGUUUAAUAAGUCGAAUGUUAAAGAUCGGGGCUCAACCCCGCAAAGCAUUGGAAACUGAUAAACUUGAGUAGUGGAGAGGAAAGUGGAAUUCCUAGUGUAGUGGUGAAGUACGUAGAUAUUAGGUGGGAUACCAGUAGCGAAGGAGACUUUCUGGACACAAACUGACGCUGAGGUACGAAAGCGUGGGGAGCAAACAGG